rnacentral:rRNA from 1 species
GAGCGAACGCUGGCGGCGUGCUUAACACAUGCAAGUCGAGACGAAGGUGUUUCAAGGGUAACCUUGAGAUACACGUUAGCGGCGGACGGGUGAGUAAUACGUGGAUAACUUACCUCUAGGCCUGGGAUAACCCCGGGAAACUGGGGCUAAUACCUGAUAAGACCACAUUGUCUACGGAACAAAGGGGUAAAGUGGCUGUGCAAACAGCUAUCGCCAAAAGAUAGGUUCACGUCCCAUCAGGCAGUUGGCGAGGUAAUGGCUCACCAAACC